GCCUGGCUGGCUCAGUCAGUAGAGCUUGGGAUUCUUGAUCUCAGGGUUGUAAGUUUGAGCCCCAUGUUGGGUG
rnacentral:tRNA from 1 species